AUUGAACGCUGGCGGCAUGCCUUACACAUGCAAGUCGAACGGUAACGGGCCUUCGGGUGCCGACGAGUGGCGAACGGGUGAGUAAUACAUCGGAACGUGCCCGAUCGUGGGGGUUAACGAGGCGAAAGCUUUGCUAAUACCGCAUACGAUCUACGGUUGAAAGCAGGGUACUGCAAGGCCUUGCGCGGGCGGAGCGGCCGAUGGCAGAUUAGGUAGUUGGUGGGAUAAAAGCUUACCAAGCCGACGAUCUGUAGCUGGUCUGAGAGGAUGAUCAGCCACACUGGGACUGAGACACGGCCCAGACUCCUACGGGAGGCAGCAGUGGGGAAUUUUGGACAAUGGGCGCAAGCCUGAUCCAGCCAUGCCGCGUGCAGGAUGAAGGCCUUCGGGUUGUAAACUGCUUUUGUACGGAACGAAAAGCCUUCUUUUAAUACAGGAGGGUCAUGACGGUACCGUAAGAAUAAGCACCGGCUAACUACGUG
rnacentral:rRNA from 1 species